rnacentral:rRNA from 1 species
AUUGAACGCUGGCGGCAGGCCUAACACAUGCAAGUCGAACGGUAACAGGAAGAAGCUUGCUUCUUUGCUGACGAGUGGCGGACGGGUGAGUAAUGUCUGGGAAACUGCCUGAUGGAGGGGGAUAACUACUGGAAACGGUAGCUAAUACCGAAUAACGUCGCAAGACCAAAGAGGGGGACCUUCGGGCCUCUUGCCAUCGGAUGUGCCCAGAUGGGAUUAGCUAGUAGGUGGGGUAACGGCUCACCUAGGCGACGAUCCCUAGCUGGUCUGAGAGGAUGACCAGCCACACUGGAACUGAGACACGGUCCAGACUCCUACGGGAGGCAGCAGUGGGGAAUAUUGCACAAUGGGCGCAAGCCUGAUGCAGCCAUGCCGCGUGUAUGAAGAAGGCCUUCGGGUUGUAAAGUACUUUCAGCGGGGAGGAAGGGAGUAAAGUUAAUACCCUUACUCAUUGACGUUACCCGCAGAAGAAGCACCGGCUAACUCCGUG